UUUGUCUCUUCUCUUCGUUUUUUUUUUCUUAGUCAGCUACAUAGACCUAAAAUUAUUAUUUUAAUUUUCACGCUCGCGAGAUCAUAUUUAUAUAGGUGAAGUGGUCAUCGCUGUUGGAACCAUCGAAGCAUUUGAAACAGCUCGUUCCCAGUCAAAGCAAGAUACUUCUUCCUGAUUGAGUCCCAAUCAACCACACUCUCGAUUCUAGUAGCACUGUUAAAGGACAAUUGACUGCCCAAUGGGCUCAAAUGCAUUACCGAAAGAGCCACGCUGUCUUUUGGUUGGACCUGUCCCUUCUUGACUUUGGCCAACCACUUUGCACCCAUUUUGGAUCUUGGAGAUAAUCGACCGGUACGUUGAAGACCCAUCAUAUGUACCAGAGACGGUCGUUUGCGUUUUGCCGCACGUUGUUUGCAUACUUUGAUGAAGUAAACGAUCCAGGUUGUUAGCAAGUUCAACGGGGAUGGAGCUGUGGUCGUUCUGCAACAUGGGGACGUAUUUUCAAUGUGUUCCAGUUUAGUCACCUGGAUUGAAUCAUAAUGGAUCAUAACAAAAAACAGAGGAUCUGAAUCUCAUCAUACUAGGCUAUAUUUUAUCAGGUAAUUGAUUCAUCAGCUAAAGAUCUACACGGCAAAGUGUCGCUCAUCAUUGCGAUAAGCAGAUUAAUUAACACCACUACCGAGACCAACAUGUACACGCCGAAGGCCAGCUUAAAGAGGACCGAGGUCCAGUCCGGCUGAUUGACCUCGACCUUGAGCUCGCUGUG